ACCAAGACUGAUCUAGUCCAAGUGGUUGGAGUCUAGCGCGUAGAUUCCACGUAAAGCUUCGGACCUUGUUUCGAAUCAGUCUUGGUACCUCUUUCUCAAUCUCUCUUUCGCAACUCGCUGUUGUUGAUGUUGUUGUCGUUAGGAAAAUGAGGUAAUCCAAAUUACCUUUUCUUUU